CCCUUCGGGGCGAGGCUUUCCGUGACUUAGUGGCGGACGGGUGAGUAACGCGUGGGCAAGCUGCCCCAUACUGGGGGAUAACGGUCAGAAAUGGCCGCUAACACCGCAUGAGCGCACAGUGCCGCAUGGCACGGUGUGAAAAUAUUAAUAGGUAUGGGAUGCGCCCGCGUCUGAUUAGCUGGUUGGUGGGGUAACGGCCCACCAAGGCGACGAUCAGUAGCCGGCUUGAUAGAGUGACCGGCCACAUUGGGACUGAGACACGGCCCAAACUCCUACGGGAGGCAGCAGUGGGGAAUAUUGCACAAUGGGGGGAACCCUGAUGCAGCGACGCCGCGUGGGUGAAGACGUAUUUCGGUAUGUAAAGCCCUUUCGGCAGGGAAGAAGAUGACGGUACCUGACGAAGAAGCCCCGGCUAAAUACGUGCCAGCAGCCGCGGUAAU
rnacentral:rRNA from 1 species